AGGGCUUUAGUUUAAUUAAAACAUUUGAUUUGCAAUUAGAAAAUGUGGAGUAAUAUCUGCAAGUCCUA
rnacentral:tRNA from 1 species